rnacentral:lncRNA from 1 species
UAUUCCUAACAAGAUUUAAUAAAAUAUUUUGAUGCAAGGAAACUUAUUGGUAAUUUCAUUUAGUCCCUAAGGCAAUACCCAGUAAAUGUAUUUUUGUUUGUCUAAGUGUCCUGAGAAUCUAUACUACUUAACUAUUGAUUUUCCUAAAGAAUUAAUAUUUAAUUGAUCUUUUAAAAUAUAAAUUCUAUUAUAAUUUAUAUAUUUUAGCAAAAAUAGAAUAUGUUAUACAACACAAUAAAUAUAUAAUAUAAAUGUGAAUUAUAAUUAAAAAUAAAACAUAAAGGAUCUGAAUUGUUAUUGUCUUAAAUAUUAAUUGUGGUAACACUAUUUUUCAUUUAGCAAAAUUUUAUUACAGUAAAAAGUAUUUGAGGACAAAAAACUAUCUGUGCUGAUCAUGCUUAUUAUACUUUAUGUUGUUCUUGGCAAGUCAGGUUCCUACAAGUUUAGUGGUAUAAACACAUUCAAUUGUUUCAAUCUUUGAAAAAAUUCUUGAGAUAGUACUCUUGUUCUUCUGAGACUUAGCAACCCUGGAAUUAUCGUGGAAUCUGAAGUACUGAAGGGAGUUUAGACCAUAUUUUUUUGGCUUAAGAUCAAUGGAUCAUUUCCAGUGUAAACAAAGGUUGGUUUAGUCAAAUUAGCCAUCUGUCUCUGAGGAAUUUAAACAGUAACAUGACACAUUUUACUACUGUAACUAGCUUCUGCCUAUUUUUAAAUUUCCCUGAAAGAGAGGAGGUACAGAGGAUAAUAGCAGCCCCCAGGAUUCCUCUUCAGAUGAAUUCUUCAAUGGCACAGUAGCAUUGAUUCUCCUGUGUCAACAGCUGGUGUAUUAUGUGACAGUUGCACAUUUAAAGGAACUCCUUUUUCUAGAUUUCACGGUUCUUAAAUUCUUCUACAAUCUCAUGACCUCUAUUCCACUUCUUGCUUUCCUUCAUGGAUUCUCCAAUUAAAAAUGUUAUUCUCUGUAGAGUGGUCUAUAAGGUUGAAUUACCUGCUUAGAGUAAGCGCCACAUUUUACUACUGAAGGAUGCCAAAAAGUGUCUACUUCUAUGUGACUACACUUUAGUCUACUAUGUGACUACCCUUUAGACAAGGUUUUAUAUAUAUAAAAAGGAAUUUAGAAAAAUUUUAGGUAAGGCUAUGUAAGAUUUCAAUAAACUUGUUAAUUUAAAGUAAAAAGCUAGCUGUUAACAUCUUGUAAAUAGGUUCUUAUUAGCUCUGCAUUAUCUUGUUUGAAAUUUUUCCCUUUAUAAAUUUCUCAGUGACUUAUUAAAAUAAUAUUAACAUAUUCUGGUUAUUAUAUUUUUAACAUUACAAAUUGUUGGAAUUUUGACUGUGUAAGUAAAUACUAAAUAGAGUGUAGUGAACUCAUAUUCAGUGACAAAGUGUUUGGGACUCCCAUUACUUCCAGCAAUGUAAAAAUCACAGGGAACUCCUCUUACAGAAGGGACAGAAAGCAGAGCUAGUCAAUGGCUUUCUUUGUGUUGUAUUGAUAUUUAUAUUACGUUUGUAUAUGAAAUACACAGGGAUGCAGAUGUGGUUCAUAAAUACAAAACUAUAUGCUGAAGAAGCAACAUUAAUUAUGUAUUUAAUAAUACAUUUUCAUAUCUCAUUGGGUAAUUUCUAUUUACCUAUGUCCUUGUAAAUUAAAUGAUUAGAUUAAGUUGGUUAUCUUGUUCUUCAUCAUCACCCUUUAUAUUCUCAUUGAACUUGAGAGGGAAGACAUGUUCUUACCCUCCAGAGAGCCACAUUAUUUACUUGGUUCAUUGGAAUAGUUAGAGAUAUGGGCACACACAUAGCUUUUGCUGUGUGGCUGACCGUGGACCCUGUCUUUGCCAUUGCUGAUACCUGGCAAGCUUGUUAUUCUAAGAGGAAUAGGAACUUUGAGGAACCUAUAUAGAAGACAAGACUGGUCAAAAGCACCUUAAUCCAGCCAUUUCCCAACCAAACUGAAUGAUACCUGGAAGGGGGAUAUACUAGUGGUGUUUUAAACCAUUAGAUUUGGUGGUGGUUGGUUAUGCAUUAUUUCUGUGACUGAAAACUUAACCAAUUCAGAGGAUUUAGUAUAAAAUUCAUUUAUUUUGCAACUAUUGGCAGGAAAUUAACGAUGAAAUUUUUCACUCUAUUUCUUUCUUUACCCUCUUGCUCUCCACAUGCCCCUCCUCUCUCUGUCUAUAAGUUACAUGUACAAGAUGCCAUCGCUCCUAGGAUAUGUUCUAUUUGUUUGGCUCAGCCUGCUGCUGCAUAACUGAGCUUCACUCCCUACAAGUCAAAAGCACUGUUUAUACUUUCUUCUGACACAAGGCUGGUAAGCUCUGUGUAGUGUUUUAAAGGAAACAGCAAAGCCAUCACCAUGACUACACAUCCUCACCCCUCACUUUUAGAAAAGCAGCCCUUUCCACUGACUGCCAAUGUAGGACAUGAAAUUACUUCCAUUCCAUUUAAACUCUGUAUUUUACUUAAUGUUCCAAAAUUAGGAGUUAACCUCAAUAAACUAAGUAGCUGACUUACAUUUGAAUGCUCAAGGGAGAAAAACGAAGUGGCUCCUUGAAGAACAAAGAAUAUAUUCCAAGAAAAUCCUUUCUGAACAGUUAUAGCAAAACCAAAUGGCACCCAGGCUUACGCAGGAUACAUUUCUGAGCAAUGUUUACAUAAAACCAACCAUGUAACUGACAUGAAUCAAAUUUACUUAAUUUGAUUUUUAUUUAUUUCUCUAUUCGUGUGUUAAGAUAUGAGACUGAAUGAAUGUUAAAUAGUUGGUAAUUCUAAUGAUGCUAAAUAAACUGCAGAAAUCAACAAAAACUCAUUCAAAUUCCAAUUUUUAGCUCUCAGUCUGGGAUUUCUAGCAUUUGACUGUAUUCUUCUAGGAUUGAUUUUCCUUUGCCUUUCCAAAUUGAUCAAUAAGACAUUGAUUAUCCUCUCUCCAGAGAAUUUUGAAGUUCCUGGGGAGUGUUCUAUACAUGUUUCAGUAUAGCCCUCACAGGAAGGUUCCUUCACACUUCCUCAUCUUUCUGCUUUUGCUCUGCCAGUACUUUAUCAGGUGGUCAGAGGCGUGGAUCAGAGAGCCAGGGUUGUUACUAAGGCAGCCAUGCUCAUGGUUGAUGCUGGAGCAGCUGAAUCUAAAGCCAAACCAUUUCCUUGUUGCUUGUUCAUUUAUUGAACUUCCCAACUGUCCACUCAUACCUCCAUUCUGGAAUAUACGGAUCCAUGAAAAAUACUCUCUAGGUCAAUUGGGGUGACAGCUGUGAUCAUCUUUAUAAUCAUUCUCUUUUCUAAUAUUAGCUCACUCUUUUAUCCUCACUUUUCAACUGUCCAGGAUGUAUAAGCCCAGUUUACUAUGCUCAGAAAGGUUGACAGUGCUUAAACUAAGACCUUCCACAAACGUAAAAAACUUCCUUCUGAUAGAUGAGGUGGAUUCAGCUGUACAUGUGUUCCUAUGACAAAGGGAGCUGAAAUGUUUACUUUUUUACCUAGAUUUCUAAUAGAUAACCCUAUAAGAACUAAUGCUACUUGACAAAUACACACUUGGGACCAAUUUGAUACCCUCGUUCUUGCUGUAUUCUGGAGCUAAUAUAUGCAAAUGGCUAUGUCUACUAGUGGUGUAGGCGGAUUAUGUCAGCCUCCAGGGAGGCUGAGGUAAGAGGACCACAGUGGAAAGAGGACUCCUCUGGGAUACAGGUCAAGCUUAAUGUCAGAAGAGCAUCUGAGGACCCCUUU